GCUCCCCCGCCCCUAGGAGCCAGAGGGACCUGCCAGAUGCUUCCUGGGAGCUGCCCCAGGGGACUGGACUAGAUGACCUCUCGAGGUCCCUUCCAGUUCUAUGAUUCUAUGAUAAUUUAUGUCCAAGCUGUGGACACUGGUGAACAUUAGCCUCAGAAGCACUGAGAGGAGAGGAUCUUUUCCUUGCUCGGUGGCAGACCAAUCAGAUCUGAGCAGCAGCAACCUGCAUGGAGAAGCUGUGGCCAAUCAGAUGGAUAUGAUUAUGUCUAGACUAUUUGAGAAGAGAUGGACUUCAGAGCUAUUCAUCAAUCAAGGAACAGUGGUGAUUAAUAAAAUGGCUUAGGAGAAGGCCCAUUGGUCCUAAAGGCAGAAUCAGGCCACAUGGAAGGAUUUCGAAAUUCAUCUCUUCCUGGCCAUUAUUUUUAUUACACUGACAAUAUAUGGGAAGAAUGAAAAGUUACAGAGUUCGAAUGUUUACACUAAAGAUAACAUUUACUGAAAGACGUCCAGUUUUUUUUGCAUCAUGUUACAAAUCUCUCUUCUUAUUAGUCAAAAGUGUCAAAUUUAUUAAUUAAAUAAAUAAAUAACACAUCGACAUCUGGAAUUUCAAUCACUUCCUAAUUAUUGUCCUAUUUAUAGCUCUAGAAACAAUUUCAUGUUUUACCAUUUAAAAUUAGGGAUCAAAUUCUGAGCUGAAUUACAUUUCACUAAAGUAACUCCACUUUACACUGAAAUCUAAAAUUAGGGCUAUAUGUUUAGCUAAUAUAAAUCGGCUAGCUGCACUGAGGUAAUUGGAGCUACAUCGAUUUACUCCAGCUGAGGAAAUGGCUUUCGGUCCCUAGUGUUUCAGGUCAUAAGUGGGUCACAUAGAUCUCAUCUAUGUACCAAAUUUUUACUGCAUCUGAACAUAGUUGUGAACAAUUGAAUUAACUUACACGAUUCUGGACACAGUUUAGCAAGGCCAGUGUAGAGCAGGAGAGACCAUAAUUGGUGUUGUGUUAGCUGCAUUAACAUUUCUGAAUAUCAACAAAAUAGAAACAUUAGGUUAAGAAGAAACAUAACCCCCAUGCCUCCUACAUUCCAUGCUAUUACAAAUCUGGUGUAUUGGACACAACUACCAUUGGAUACUGUUAGAAUCUGAAUAUCAGACUAGUAAACACCCUAUGAUUUUCAAAAGUGACCAGUGAUUUUGAAUACCUCAAUAUUUGAAUGCCAGAUUUGAGACUUCCUACAAGUGGCUGUUUAUCAGAAAGUGCUGACCACACAUGCUCUGAAAAUUACGCUGUAAAUUAGUUUCUAGAAGGUUACUUCCAUUUUUCAGUGUUUUAGUGGAAUAAUUUAUUUUUUUUAAAAUGUGGGUUUUUUAAAAAAAAAUCAAGGGGUUUUUUCCUCGCCCUUUAUUCCUUUUUUUUUUUUUUGGCCAAUGGGUAGGACAGGAAAAUUUACAGUCAAAACUGUUUGAUGACUGAAAAUUAGAGUUUUGACAAAAUGCCAAUUUUUGUGAAAAGGGUAUCCUUUGUGUGGAAAAUUUUGACUUUUCUUGAAAAGAAAAGAAAAGAAAAG